AAGUGCCGCUGGGUUCUGAGUGG
rnacentral:miRNA from 1 species